UUAAGCGACUAAGCGUACACGGUGGAUGCCCUGGCAGUCAGAGGCGAUGAAGGACGUGCUAAUCUGCGAAAAGCGUCGGUAAGGUGAUAUGAACCGUUACAGCCGGCGAUGUCCGAAUGGGGAAACCCAGUGCAAUUCGUUGCACUAUCGUUAACUGAAUACAUAGGUUAACGAGGCGAACCGGGGGAACUGAAACAUCUAAGUACCCCGAGGAAAAGAAAUCAACCGAGAUUCCCCCAGUAGCGGCGAGCGAACGGGGAGCAGCCCGGAGUCUGAAUCAGCUUGUGUGUUAGUGGAAGCGUCUGGAAAGUCGCAGGGUACAGGGUGAUACUCCCGUACACUAAAACGCACAGGUUGUGAACUCGAAGAGUAGGGCGGGACACGUGGUAUCCUGUCUGAAUAUGGGGGGACCAUCCUCCAAGGCUAAAUACUCCUGACUGACCGAUAGUGAACCAGUACCGUGAGGGAAAGGCGAAAAGAACCCCGGCGAGGGGAGUGAAAAAGAACCUGAAACCGUGUACGUACAAGCAGUAGGAGCCCACUUGUUGGGUGACUGCGUACCUUUUGUAUAAUGGGUCAGCGACUUAUAUUCUGUAGCAAGGUUAACCGUAUAGGGGAGCCGCAGGGAAACCGAGUCUUAACUGGGCGUUAAGUUGCAGGGUAUAGACCCGAAACCCGGUGAUCUAGCCAUGGGCAGGUUGAAGGUUGGGUAACACUAACUGGAGGACCGAACCGACUAAUGUUGAAAAAUUAGCGGAUGACUUGUGGCUGGGGGUGAAAGGCCAAUCAAACCGGGAGAUAGCUGGUUCUCCCCGAAAGCUAUUUAGGUAGCGCCUCGUGAACUCAUCUUCGGGGGUAGAGCACUGUUUCGGCUAGGGGGUCAUCCCGACUUACCAACCCGAUGCAAACUACGAAUACCGAAGAAUGUUAUCACGGGAGACACACGGCGGGUGCUAACGUCCGUCGUGAAGAGGGAAACAACCCAGACCGCCAGCUAAGGUCCCAAAGUCAUGGUUAAGUGGGAAACGAUGUGGGAAGGCCCAGACAGCCAGGAUGUUGGCUUAGAAGCAGCCAUCAUUUAAAGAAAGCGUAAUAGCUCACUGGUCGAGUCGGCCUGCGCGGAAGAUGUAACGGGGCUAAACCAUGCACCGAAGCUGCGGCAGCGACACUAUGUGUUGUUGGGUAGGGGAGCGUUCUGUAAGCCGUUGAAGGUGGCCUGUGAGGGUUGCUGGAGGUAUCAGAAGUGCGAAUGCUGACAUAAGUAACGAUAAUGCGGGUGAAAAACCCGCACGCCGGAAGACCAAGGGUUCCUGUCCAACGUUAAUCGGGGCAGGGUGAGUCGACCCCUAAGGCGAGGCCGAAAGGCGUAGUCGAUGGGAAACAGGUUAAUAUUCCUGUACUCGGUGUUACUGCGAAGGGGGGACGGAGAAGGCUAUGUUGGCCGGGCGACGGUUGUCCCGGUUUAAGCAUGUAGGCGGAUGUUCCAGGUAAAUCCGGAACGUCACUAACGCUGAGGUGUGAUGACGAGGCACUACGGUGCUGAAGUGACAAAUGCCCUGCUUCCAGGAAAAGCCUCUAAGCAUCAGGUAACAUCAAAUCGUACCCCAAACCGACACAGGUGGUCAGGUAGAGAAUACCAAGGCGCUUGAGAGAACUCGGGUGAAGGAACUAGGCAAAAUGGUGCCGUAACUUCGGGAGAAGGCACGCUGAUGGUAGGUGAAGUGACUUGCUCAUGGAGCUGAAAUCAGUCGAAGAUACCAGCUGGCUGCAACUGUUUAUUAAAAACACAGCACUGUGCAAACACGAAAGUGGACGUAUACGGUGUGACGCCUGCCCGGUGCCGGAAGGUUAAUUGAUGGGGUUAUCCGUAAGGAGAAGCUCUUGAUCGAAGCCCCGGUAAACGGCGGCCGUAACUAUAACGGUCCUAAGGUAGCGAAAUUCCUUGUCGGGUAAGUUCCGACCUGCACGAAUGGCGUAAUGAUGGCCAGGCUGUCUCCACCCGAGACUCAGUGAAAUUGAACUCGCUGUGAAGAUGCAGUGUACCCGCGGCAAGACGGAAAGACCCCGUGAACCUUUACUAUAGCUUGACACUGAACACUGGUCCUUGAUGUGUAGGAUAGGUGGGAGGCUUUGAAGUGUGGACGCCAGUCUGCAUGGAGCCAUCCUUGAAAUACCACCCUUUAAUGGCUGGUGUUCUAACGUGGGCCCGUAAUCCGGGUUGCGGACAGUGUCUGGUGGGUAGUUUGACUGGGGCGGUCUCCUCCUAAAGAGUAACGGAGGAGCACGAAGGUCAGCUAAUCCUGGUCGGACAUCAGGAGGUUAGUGCAAUGGCAUAAGCUGGCUUGACUGCGAGCGUGACGGCGCGAGCAGGUGCGAAAGCAGGUCAUAGUGAUCCGGUGGUUCUGAAUGGAAGGGCCAUCGCUCAACGGAUAAAAGGUACUCCGGGGAUAACAGGCUGAUACCGCCCAAGAGUUCAUAUCGACGGCGGUGUUUGGCACCUCGAUGUCGGCUCAUCACAUCCUGGGGCUGAAGUAGGUCCCAAGGGUAUGGCUGUUCGCCAUUUAAAGUGGUACGCGAGCUGGGUUUAGAACGUCGUGAGACAGUUCGGUCCCUAUCUGCCGUGGGCGCUGGAGAAUUGAGGGGGGCUGCUCCUAGUACGAGAGGACCGGAGUGGACGCAUCACUGGUGUUCGGGUUGUCAUGCCAAUGGCAUUGCCCGGUAGCUAAAUGCGGAAGAGAUAAGUGCUGAAAGCAUCUAAGCACGAAACUUGCCCCGAGAUGAGUUCUCCCUGACUCCUUGAGAGUCCUGAAGGAACGUUGAAGACGACGACGUUGAUAGGCCGGGUGUGUAAGCGCAGCGAUGCGUUGAGCUAACCGGUACUAAUGAACCGUGAGGCUUAACCUU
rnacentral:rRNA from 2 species